AUUGAACGCUGGCGGCAUGCCUUACACAUGCAAGUCGAACGGCAGCACGGGUGCUUGCACCUGGUGGCGAGUGGCGAACGGGUGAGUAAUACAUCGGAACAUGUCCUGUAGUGGGGGAUAGCCCGGCGAAAGCCGGAUUAAUACCGCAUACGAUCUACGGAUGAAAGCGGGGGACCUUCGGGCCUCGCGCUAUAGGGUUGGCCGAUGGCGGAUUAGCUAGUUGGUGGGGUGAAGGCCUACCAAGGCGACGAUCAGUAGCUGGUCUGAGAGGACGACCAGCCACACUGGGACUGAGACACGGCCCAGACUCCUACGGGAGGCAGCAGUGGGGAAUUUUGGACAAUGGGCGAAAGCCUGAUCCAGCAAUGCCGCGUGUGUGAAGAAGGCCUUCGGGUUGUAAAGCACUUUUGUCCGGAAAGAAAUCCUUGGCCCUAAUACGGUCGGGGGAUGACGGUACCGGAAGAAUAAGCACCGGCUAACUACGUG
rnacentral:rRNA from 1 species